rnacentral:rRNA from 1 species
AGUGAACGCUGGCGGUAGGCCUAACACAUGCAAGUCGAACGGCAGCACAGUAAGAGCUUGCUCUUACGGGUGGCGAGUGGCGGACGGGUGAGGAAUACAUCGGAAUCUACUUUUUCGUGGGGGAUAACGUAGGGAAACUUACGCUAAUACCGCAUACGACCUACGGGUGAAAGCAGGGGAUCUUCGGACCUUGCGCGAUUGAAUGAGCCGAUGUCGGAUUAGCUAGUUGGCGGGGUAAAGGCCCACCAAGGCGACGAUCCGUAGCUGGUCUGAGAGGAUGAUCAGCCACACUGGAACUGAGACACGGUCCAGACUCCUACGGGAGGCAGCAGUGGGGAAUAUUGGACAAUGGGCGCAAGCCUGAUCCGGCCAUACCGCGUGGGUGAAGAAGGCCUGCGGGUUGUAAAGCCCUUUUGUUGGGAAAGAAAAGCAGCAGGUUAAUACCCCGCUGUGCUGACGGUACCCAAAGAAUAAGCACCGGCUAACUUC